AGCGUGAAUGGUAGAUCGGAGGAUACAGUGCGAAGGCGCCUCUGGGUGACACUGACAGUGAGUGCGAAAGCGUGGUAGCAAACAGGAUAGAUACCCUGGUAGUCCACGCCGUAAACGAUGUCAUCUAGCAGUUGGUACCCUGAGGUCUUAGUGGCGCAGCUAACGCAAUAAGUAGACCGCCUGGGGAGUACGGCCGCAAGGUUAAAACUCAAAUGAAUUGACGGGGGCCCGCACAAGCGGUGGAGCAUGUGGUUUAAUUCGAUGCAACGCGAAGAACCUUACCUACCCUUGACAUCCAGAGGACUUUCCAGAGAUGGAUUGGUGCCUUCGGGAACUCUGAGACAGGUGCUGCAUGGCUGUCGUCAGCUCGUGUUGUGAAAUGUUGGGUUAAGUCCCGUAACGAGCGCAACCCCUAUCCUUAUUUGCCAGCGAGUAAUGUCGGGAACUCUAAGGAGACUGCCGGUGACAAACCGGAGGAAGGUGGGGACGACGUCAAGUCAUCAUGGCCCUUACGGGUAGGGCUACACACGUGCUACAAUGGCAAGUACAAAGGGUUGCAAUCUUGCGAAGUGGAGCCAAUCCCAUAAAGCUUGCCUCAGUCCGGAUUGGAGUCUGCAACUCGACUCCAUGAAGUCGGAAUCGCUAGUAAUCGUGGAUCAGAAUGCCACGGUGAAUACGUUCCCGGGCCUUGUACACACCGCCCGUCACACCAUGGGAGUGGGCUGCUCCAGAAGUGGUUAGCCUAACCUUCGGGAGGAAGAUCACCACGGUGUGGUUCAUGACUGGG
rnacentral:rRNA from 1 species